ensembl:lncRNA
GCUCUGUGUGGUGUUCAUGUUGUUGUUACUCAGACAGAGUUUGCAGUAUAUAUCAAUACCAUAUUGUGACGGGACGUGGUCUGUGAUGCUGCUGCAGCGCAAAAACAAGGCUCAUGUGUUCAUGUGCUGUAUCCUCCGGAUUCCAGCCAGAGUGGAUUCUGGAGUCUUCCACGCUCCUGUCAGUGAUCCUCCAUCUGGAUGGAUGAGAACAACCUUCUGAACAACCUAGCAGUUUGGGCAGAAUCCUGUUGCUGGAAACCCAUGGUUAUUCAUGUCCCAUGUUAUUGCAGAGACCCACAAACAGGAAAAAUAAACCACACCCGAGCUCUACCCAUCUCGAGUCCAGAGAGUUUUAC